GACGAACGCUGGCGGUGUGCUUAACACAUGCAAGUCGAACGGUAAGGCCCUUUCGGGGGUACACGAGUGGCGAACGGGUGAGUAACACGUGAGUAACCUGCCCUCAUCUCUGGGAUAACAGUCGGAAACGGUUGCUAAUACUGGAUAUGAGCUUGCAAGGCAUCUUGUGGGUUGGAAAGAUUUUUUUUGGUUGGGGAUGGACUCGCGGCCUAUCAGCUUGUUGGUGAGGUAGUGGCUCACCAAGGCUUCGACGGGUAGCCGGCCUGAGAGGGCGACCGGCCACAUUGGGACUGAGAUACGGCCCAAACUCCUACGGGAGGCAGCAGUGGGGAAUAUUGCACAAUGGACGGAAGUCUGAUGCAGCAACGCCGCGUGCGGGAUGACGGCCUUCGGGUUGUAAACCGCCUUCAAUUGUGACGAAGCUUUUUUGUGACGGUAGCAGUAGAAGAAGCACCGGCUAACUACGUG
rnacentral:rRNA from 1 species